UUCAGCACCUGCUUUGCACAGUGGGUGGAGGCCAGUGUGAUUUCAUCGGCAGCCGACUGCCCUGUCCAGCCUGUCUGGGACCUGCCCCGUGGGAGCCCUGUGAGUCAGGGCUGAGGAAGAAGAGUAGAUCAUGAGCCUAAACUUUCCCUCAAGGUGCAGCAAGGGAAGUUGAGAUGAGAUAUCCGGAAGAAUUUAGCAUUGAAACAGGAUCCCCAGAGAUGUGGUGGACUCUGCAUCCUUGGAGGUUUUGAAGGGCAUGAAACGACCGGGUCAUCAGUUCAAAACGAACGGCAGGAAGUUGUGUAUCACCCGGUGUGCAUCAAGGGGGAAGUUCAUUGCCACCGGAUGUGGUGGAAGCUGAUCGUUUAGCCCCAAGGGCUAUUUCACAUGCCUGGAGGAAAGAGGCCUCCGCAGCCAUUGCACCUGGGAGUGAAGGGCACGGCUUCUGCAUCAGAAUAUCUUGGACCCUCAAUGCUGGAGGCGGCAAGCAUGGGCGACUGGUGCCUCCUGAGUCUGGCGGGGGGCACCAGAUCACCGACAGUGCACUUCCAGCUUGACGGCUGGCGCUUCCAGGGGGUGCACGCCCGAUCUCAAGGGGUGCAAGUGCACCUGUGCUAGGGUAGCUUGUCACAUUUUAUGCUUUAAGUUGCACCUGUUUAUAGAGUGGUGAAUUAUAGCAUCGUUUAAAGUUUUCUUUUAAAUUCAGCCUACAGUUCUGUAUGGCCUCAUUGGUAUCUGAACUUUUCGUUUUGCUGGCGUUGGCAAUAUCAGCUGGCCUUGUUUCUUGCAAGCAGCUUACGGCCUUGAGCUUGCCCGCAUGCUGUUUCUUUCCUUUUCUUGUCACUGUGAGACUUUUUCUAACACAACAUAGUAAUAGUUGUGUUACUAGCUCAAAUUAACCGAACUUGGCACGAACCAGUUGAAUCAGAGGGAGGAAACGAUUUGCUAUGUUAAUGAAAGGUGAUAAAGGAGACCAAUGGACAAUGCUUAAAGUAAGGUGUGCUCGUAAUGGGGAUGUUGAACAAAGGACUAUGUUGACAGGAUAAAAUAGGAACAAUAUGCUGACUGCAGAAAGACUAAUCCAAAAGCAAGGAGUCACCAAAGCAGUCAAGUUAAAGCAAAGCAUCAAAGGAGGAAGCAAGAAAGUGAAGUGUGUCAUCGUCAUCAUCAUCAUUUCCAUCACGAAUCCAGCUUUCAACACCUGUCUGGAUCAUCCCAGGCAACGACGCACCCUUUGCUUCAGGAGCUGAGAGGCCGUCUCUUCUGUGAAGCAAAGGAACAUGAGGGAUUGGGUGAGAUCAUUGUACUAAGUGUUUUUCUCUCUCUGAAUAGAGAAACUGCUGAGACAAUACUUGUUGUACGAAUAAAGUUAAACUUUGAUUUUCGGGCA